GGAAUACAUCAAGCUCAGGAAUAAUAGAAGCAGGUAAUGGAACACCACAGGCCUUUCUUCUCAAGUAAUGAACAAGAAGCUCUUCAUCUGUAGGAUGAAACCUGUACCCAACGGGCAAUUUGAUUCCACCAUUCACAGCAAAAUUUGCUUUCUCCAUGUUUCCUACCUCCAAAAUCAGCUGAGAGUCGGAAAUUAACAAUCAACGCAGUUGAGGAACAAAGAGAAAUAUGGGGUAUUUAUUAAUGAACUCAACAAGGUU
rnacentral:misc_RNA from 1 species